AGAGUUUGAUCCUGGCUCAGAUUGAACGCUGGCGGUAGGCUUAACACAUGCAAGUCGCGCGAGAAAGUAUCUUCGGAUAUGAGUAGAGCGGCGGACGGGUGAGUAACGCGUAGGAAUCUACCUAGUAGAAGGGGAUAGCCCGGGGAAACUCGGAUUAAUACCGUAUACCUCCUUCGGGAGAAAGAAGGCCUCUCUUUGAAGCUUUCGCUAUUAGAUGAGCCUGCGUAAGAUUAGCUUGUUGGUGAGGUAAAGGCUCACCAAGGCGACGAUCUUUAGCGGGUCUGAGAGGACGAUCCGCCACAUUGGGACUGAGACACGGCCCAGACUCCUACGGGAGGCAGCAGUGGGGAAUAUUGGACAAUGGGCGCAAGCCUGAUCCAGCCAUACCGCGUGUGUGAAGAAGGCCCUAGGGUUGUAAAGCACUUUAAGUUGGGAAGAAAAGUUAUUGGUUAAUACCCAAUAACCGUGACAUUACCAUCAGAAUAAGGACCGGCUAAUUCCGUGCCAGCAGCCGCGGUAAUACGGAAGGUCCAAGCGUUAAUCGGAAUUACUGGGCGUAAAGCGCGCGUAGGUGGUUUAUUAAGUUGGAUGUGAAAUCCCCGGGCUCAACCUGGGAACUGCAUCCAAAACUGAUUCACUAGAGUACGAUAGAGGGAGGUAGAAUUCACAGUGUAGCGGUGGAAUGCGUAGAUAUUGUGAAGAAUACCAAUGGCGAAGGCAGCCUCCUGGAUCUGUACUGACACUGAGGUGCGAAAGCGUGGGUAGCGAACAGGAUUAGAUACCCUGGUAGUCCACGCCGUAAACGAUGUCAACUAGCUGUUGGAGAACUAUGUUCUUCAGUGGCGCAGCUAACGUAGUAAGUUGACCGCCUGGGGAGUACGGCCGCAAGGCUAAAACUCAAAUGAAUUGACGGGGACCCGCACAAGCGGUGGAGCAUGUGGUUUAAUUCGAUGCAACGCGAAAAACCUUACCUAUACUUGACAUACUUGGAAUGCUUUGUAAUGAAGCAGUGCCUUCGGGAGCCAAGAUACAGGUGCUGCAUAGCUGUCGUCAGCUCGUGUCGUGAGAUGUUCCGUUAAGUCGGAUAACGAGCGCAACCCUUACCCUUAUUUGCCAGCGAUUCGGUCGGGAACUAUAAGGGGACUGCCGGUGAUAAACCGGAGGAAGGUGAGGACGACGUCAAGUCAUCAUGGCCCUUACGUAUAGGGCUACACACGUGCUACAAUGGAGAAUACAGACGGACGCUAAGCCGCGAGGUGGUGCUAAUCCUAGAAAAUUCUUCGUAGUCCGGAUUGGAGUCUGCAACUCGACUCCAUGAAGUCGGAAUCGCUAGUAAUCGCGAAUCAGCAUGUCGCGGUGAAUACGUUCUCGGGUCUUGUACACACCGCCCGUCAUACCAUGGAAGUGGAUUGCACCAGAAGUAGAUAGUCUAACCUUCGGGAGGGCGUUUACCACGGUGUGCUUCAUGACUGGGGUAAAGUCGUAACAAGGUAACC
rnacentral:rRNA from 1 species